rnacentral:rRNA from 1 species
UACAGGGGGUGCAAACGUUGCUCGGAAUCAUUGGGCGUAAAGCGCACGUAGGCGGUCUGUUAUGUCGGAUGUGAAAGCCCUUGGCUCAACUGAGGAAGUGCAUCCGAAACUGGCAGGCUAGAGUACGAAAGAGGAUCGCGGAAUUCCCGGUGUAGAGGUGAAAUGCGCAGAUAUCAGGAGGAACACCAAUGGCGAAGGCAGCUCGCUGGGACGUGACUGACGCUGAGACGCGAAAGCGUGGGGAGCGAACAGG